rnacentral:lncRNA from 1 species
AUGUGUUCUCACUAGUGCCAGAUAUGCCUGUUCCGUGAUAUUUUUCGGACAACUGUGUACUUUUCGUUGUUUAAACUUCAGUUGCUAGGUGGCAAUAUUUACUUUAUUAGUGAUGUGUUGAUUCGAGUUAUGUUUGGAGUCCAAGAUGUGGGUUAUGAAUGUUUACUUCUUACUGAGUUUAGAUGAGGUAAUUUGGUUGGUUGAUUUUCCGUCAGAUGUUGUGGAUUUACUGAAGUACAUAGCACUUUUUGAGGAUUGAAAGACAUUUUCUAGUCUAAAGACCACCGUUCUAGCCACUGCGAAAAUGUAGUGUUUUGGUAUCUGUUUUAGAUUGGAUGUUUCUGUAAACCAAGCAGUAGUGUUAUGCUUGUUCCUGGACUCAUAAAUUAUUUUCUGUAACUGUUUAACUAUGCCAGUUACAUUGAUAGCUAUCAUAGG